UACGGGGGGGGCAAGCGUUGUUCGGAAUUACUGGGCGUAAAGGGCUCGUAGGCGGCCAACUAAGUCAUACGUGAAAUCCCUCGGCUUAACCGGGGAACUGCGUCUGAUACUGGAUGGCUUGAGUUCGGGAGAGGGAUGCGGAAUUCCAGGUGUAGCGGUGAAAUGCGUAGAUAUCUGGAGGAACACCGGUGGCGAAGGCGGCAUCCUGGACCGAUACUGACGCUGAGGAGCGAAAGCAUGGGUAGCGAACAGG
rnacentral:rRNA from 1 species